ACGAAAGAUUGACGAUUGGUAAGAAUCCACAACAAGUUGUUCUUCAUAGAUGUAUCUGAGGGUCUGUAGCUCAGUUGGUUAGAGCACACGCUUGAUAAGCGUGGGGUCACAAGUUCAAGUCUUGUCAGACCCACCAUGACUUUGACUGGUUGAAGUUAUAGAUAAAAGAUACAUGACUGAUGAUGUAAGCUGGGGACUUAGCUUAGUUGGUAGAGCGCCUGCUUUGCACGCAGGAGGUCAGGAGUUCGACUCUCCUAGUCUCCACCAGAACUUAAGAGAAGUUCGGAUUACAGAAAUUAGUAAAUAGAGAUUUCGGUCUUGGUUUAUUAACUUCUGUGAUUUAAGUAUCACGGUAUUAAGCAUGACCUGACGAAGGCGUGUUUAUUCAUUAACAGAUUGGCAAAAUUGAGUCUGAAAUAAAUUGUUCACUCAAGAGUUUAGAUUAAGCAAUUAAUCUAGAUGAAUUGAGAACUAGCAAAUUAACUGAAUCAAGCGUUUUGGUAUAUGAAUUUAGAUUGAAGCUGUACAGUGUUUAAGUACACAGACAACAGAUAGUAGCGAUGAAGAAUCGCACGGACAACACUCACUUGUAGGUGUUGACGACUGUUUGGGGUUGUAU
rnacentral:tRNA from 1 species